rnacentral:rRNA from 1 species
AUGGAAAGUGUUCAAUUAGAACAUGAAAACGUGACUACAUUAGUCUUAGUUAGUCUUCGGGACGGAGUGGAAGAAGGGGGGAGACUCUCGAACAAGGAAAAUCACCCCUUUGAAAGAAUUGACCGAGGAGUCGUAUGA